UCUGGUGAAGUUCUCUCUCUCUUGGUUAUUUCACUAUUGAAGUACGCGAUAACGUUAACUAAUCCAAAUUCCUUCGCAAUAAUCGACGUGGCUCCGAAUUUCGUUAAAAUCAGCCAGUGGAGAAGCACCAGGAGCUUAUAUGCGGCGUUUUUGCAGUCUUGUGCAGUAGAGCUGAGAACGUUAGCAAUUUCAUAGAUGCGGAAUCAAUUUUUGGAUAGUCGCCUUGUCUACAAGCAUUUUGCUACUCUUUACUUUGUGUUUGUGUUUGAUACUUGAUAGUUCUCAGAAUGAGCUAGGCGUGCUUGACUUGAUACAAGGUAUCUUGGGAAAUUUCAUUUUAGAAUUUACCUAUAAUGGACUAAUCAAUCUAUAAAAUGUGGUUCUCGUUAGUUAUAGCCCUUUCCAGAUCAAGAUUUGAACUUAGUCAGUAUUUGGAGAUGUUUCAAUAGUCAAUACUUAAAUGUUGCAUUAUUGAUAUAAUGCUUUGUAAUCAUUAUAAACAUGCUUUGUAAUGAUCUUGUAAUCAUUAUAAGUUGAAUUUUGUUUGGAUUUUGGAAGCACCUUUUUAUGGAAUAGAUUUUGUUAUCUGAGCAUUUAAUAAUGAACAUUGAUUUUUGUGUGCUGGAAUCAGCU